GACGAACGCUGGCGGCGUGCUUAACACAUGCAAGUCGAACGGAAAGGCCCUGCUUUUGUGGGGUGCUCGAGUGGCGCACGGGUGAGUAACACGUGUGUCACCUGCCCUUGACUCUGGGAUAUCUUCAGGAAACUGGGGCUACUACCGCUUAUGAGCUCCUGCUGCACGGUGGGGGUUGGAAAGUUUCGGCGGUUGGGGAUGGACUCGCGGCUUAUCAGCUUGUUGGUGGGGUAGUGGCUUACCAAGGCUUUGACGGGUAGCCGGCCUGAGAGGGUGGCCGGCCACACUGGGACUGAGAUACGGCCCAGACGCCUACGGGAGGCAGCAGUGGGGAGUAUUACACAGUGGGCGGAAGCCUGAUGCAGCAACGCCGCGUGCGGGAUGACAGCCUUCGGGUUGUAAACCGCUUUCGCCUGUGACGAAGCGUGAGUGACGGUAAUGGGUAAAGAAGCACCGGCUAACUACGUG
rnacentral:rRNA from 1 species